CCCAUAGAGUUGACAUGUCUCGGAGUUUGUUUAUUUUCAAAACUGUCUGGCUUGCCAGUGCUCCAGUAACAGACUUCACAAAACCGCUGCUAUUGUUGCCUCUUCGGAAAAUGUUUGUAGCUUUUCCUUAGCUACACAGCACAUAACAUGAUGAACUUUGCAGGAUGCCCUCAUUCAUUGUGGUGGAGUUUGUGGAUGAAAUUGACCAUGAUGGCUGCAAGCAGGUGGACAUCAUUCCAUCAGCGUGGUUCAAGGGCACUGACAGAAAAUUAUGCUGGCGGCCACCAGCCACGUUGCAUAAUGUGAUCAAGGCUGCGAAGGAGGGCACACCACCAGCUGAAAACUGGAUUCUGUGUAAUGUGCGUGAUGGGAAAUGCAGGUAACUUCGAUUUUUCUCAUUAACUACUGCUCCUCUCCUUUACUUACCUUAAAGUCACUGUGAUCCCCAACUUUUCUUUUUUGUGUUAAUUUUUCUCUACAGGGUUCUCUGAGCUAAUUUGUCAAGGGCUGGUGUAGCCACAGAUCGUCAUUCCAAACAAGCAGGAUCACACCAAACUUGAUUCAUUCAAUUCGAUUUCAGUCCUCACACAUGUGAUAGUUGUGGGUGUGCUCCUGUUUGCUUGGAUACCUGCAACUACACUAUCCCUCUGCAGAUUGGACAUCUGCUUCGUAUUAUGUAUACUGUAUGCACAUGUUUGUUUGUGUUGAUUGGCUAUUACUCGUGACCUCUAAACAAUCAUUUUUCAAACAAUCAUAUUGCCAUAGUAAUAACUACAGACAGUCAACUCUAAUCUAUUCUUUUUUCUUCAUUUGCUGAUCAGAAAAACGAGCUGAAUCGUGACUCAAACCUGUAAUGUGAUCCAAAUUGUGAAUUUUGUGAUCCACAACACCUAUUUUAAAUUCCUAUGGAAAUCUAGUUAUAUUUUAAUAUCUGCUUCACUCCUUUUAUAGUGACAUUGUACUUUACAGCCACUUAUGCAGAGGCCAGGGUAAAGCUACAUCAGACCUGACAGACACUGAAGAUGGCUUGAUAAAGAGAAAGUGUUUGUGGGGGAAGACAGGUUAAAGGUCAUUUCAAUAAUAUAGAGUCAGUAGGUAUGGUUCAACUUAUAUAUCUUCAUAUUAACCUUUCUUGGGCAAGGUCAAAACUCUUACAGAGUCAGAGCAAGCAACUAGAAUCAAGUGAGCAGUCUGAUUCAGAGGAGGAACUUCCACCCACUCCCCCAGAAAAACUCCUUAGGCCAGCAGCAAAGAAAAUGACCAGCCGGAUCACCAGCCACACUGCCCAGCAAGUCAUCAGUUCCACUGCCCAGCAGGUCACCAGCCCCAGUGCCCAGCGAAUCACCAGUUCCACUGUCCAGAGGUUGCCAUGGUGGCAGAUAUAGGGGGCACAAGUGUAGAUGAUGCAACGAGGCAAAUGAUGAAAUACAUUCUGUCAAACGAGCUGGCAUUGGAGUGUAACAUGUUUGGCCGUCACAGGAAAAAAAGAAGUUUAAGGACUUGCGUCUUUUCAACGUGUAUGAGGCUCUUAAGAAGAACUCAUUGACGGCACAGGUGAGCCAGCAGGAAGCAGAGAGGGCACUGCUGAAAUGGUUCACUGGGGCAAGAGACAGAGGAGGACGAAGGGCAUCCAGACAGCCAGUGCCAAAUUAAACAGUAGUAACCAGUUGUGGAAUAUGAGUUCAAUUUGUUUUCAGUACAGUUACCCUGUUAAAAUAUUAAAAACUAAUAAAAAAUUAUUAGUUACAAGUAAAACUACUAAAACAAAGUAAAG